UACGAAGGGGGCUAGCGUUGCUCGGAAUCACUGGGCGUAAAGCGCACGUAGGCGGCUUACUAAGUCAGGGGUGAAAUCCUGGAGCUCAACUCCAGAACUGCCUUUGAUACUGGCGAUCUCGAGUCCGGGAGAGGUGAGUGGAACUGCGAGUGUAGAGGUGAAAUUCGUAGAUAUUCGCAAGAACACCAGUGGCGAAGGCGGCUCACUGGCCCGGUACUGACGCUGAGGUGCGAAAGCGUGGGGAGCAAACAGG
rnacentral:rRNA from 1 species